rnacentral:rRNA from 1 species
GUCCACGCUGUAAACGAUGGAUACUUGGUGUUGGAGGUAUUGACCCCUUCAGUGCCGUAGCUAACGCGUUAAGUAUCCCGCCUGGGAAGUACGGUCGCAAGAUUAAAACUCAAAGAAAUUGACGGGGGCCCGCACAAGCGGUGGAGCAUGUGGUUCAAUUCGAUGCAACGCGAAGAACCUUACCUGGGUUUGACAUGUACUGGAAGACUACCAGAAAUGGUGUCGCCUUCGGGUCGGUACACAGGUGCUGCAUGGCUGUCGU